rnacentral:rRNA from 1 species
UACGUAGGGUGCGAGCGUUUAAUCGGAAUUGACUAGGGCGUAAAGCGCACGUAGGCGGAUCGAUCAGUCAGGGGUGAAAUCCCAGGGCUCAACCCUGGAACUGCCUUUGAUACUGUCGAUCUGGAGUAUGGAAGAGGUGAGUGGAAUUCCGAGUGUAGAGGUGAAAUUCGUAGAUAUUCGGAGGAACACCAGUGGCGAAGGCGGCUCACUGGUCCAUUACUGACGCUGAGGUGCGAAAGCGUGGGGAGCAAACAGG